AUGAACGCUAGCUACAGGCUUAACACAUGCAAGUCGAGGGGCAGCAUGGUCUUAGCUUGCUAAGGCCGAUGGCGACCGGCGCACGGGUGAGUAACACGUAUCCAACCUGCCGUCUACUCUUGGACAGCCUUCUGAAAGGAAGAUUAAUACAAGAUGGCAUCAUGAGUCCGCAUGUUCACAUGAUUAAAGGUAUUCCGGUAGACGAUGGGGAUGCGUUCCAUUAGAUAGUAGGCGGGGUAACGGCCCACCUAGUCUUCGGUGGAUAGGGGUUCUGAGAGGAAGGUCCCCCACAUUGGAACUGAGACACGGUCCAAACUCCUACGGGAGGCAGCAGUGAGGAAUAUUGGUCAAUGGGCGAGAGCCUGAACCAGCCAAGUAGCGUGAAGGAUGACUGCCCUAUGGGUUGUAAACUUCUUUUAUAAAGGAAUAAAGUCGGGUAUGGAUACCCGUUUGCAUGUACUUUAUGAAUAAGGAUCGGCUAACUCCGUGCCAGCAGCCGCGGUAAUACGGAGGAUCCGAGCGUUAUCCGGAUUUAUUGGGUUUAAAGGGAGCGUAGAUGGAUGUUUAAGUCAGUUGUGAAAGUUUGCGGCUCAACCGUAAAAUUGCAGUUGAUACUGGAUAUCUUGAGUGCAGUUGAGGCAGGCGGAAUUCGUGGUGUAGCGGUGAAAUGCUUAGAUAUCACGAAGAACUCCGAUUGCGAAGGCAGCCUGCUAAGCUGCAACUGACAUUGAGGCUCGAAAGUGUGGGUAUCAAACAGGAUUAGAUACCCUGGUAGUCCACACGGUAAACGAUGAAUACUCGCUGUUUGCGAUAUACUGCAAGCGGCCAAGCGAAAGCGUUAAGUAUUCCACCUGGGGAGUACGCCGGCAACGGUGAAACUCAAAGGAAUUGACGGGGGCCCGCACAAGCGGAGGAACAUGUGGUUUAAUUCGAUGAUACGCGAGGAACCUUACCCGGGCUUAAAUUGCAGAUGAAUUACGGUGAAAGCCGUAAGCCGCAAGGCAUCUGUGAAGGUGCUGCAUGGUUGUCGUCAGCUCGUGCCGUGAGGUGUCGGCUUAAGUGCCAUAACGAGCGCAACCCUUGUUGUCAGUUACUAACAGGUUCCGCUGAGGACUCUGACAAGACUGCCAUCGUAAGAUGUGAGGAAGGUGGGGAUGACGUCAAAUCAGCACGGCCCUUACGUCCGGGGCUACACACGUGUUACAAUGGGGGGUACAGAGGGCCGCUACCACGCGAGUGGAUGCCAAUCCCCAAAACCUCUCUCAGUUCGGACUGGAGUCUGCAACCCGACUCCACGAAGCUGGAUUCGCUAGUAAUCGCGCAUCAGCCACGGCGCGGUGAAUACGUUCCCGGGCCUUGUACACACCGCCCGUCAAGCCAUGGGAGCCGGGGGUACCUGAAGUGCGUAACCGCGAGGAGCGCCCUAGGGUAAAACUGGUGACUGGGGCU
rnacentral:rRNA from 1 species